AAAUUGUUGAAUUUUUCUUUUCACUAUAGGUUUUCCUCCUUGGAAGUUUAGCCUGUUAACUUUCAGGAAGUUUUGUACUCAGAUUCCCACAGUCAGUAUUCUGCCAGUGGUGGUGUUUCAUUUUGUUCAAAGAUAUAUAAAUUUUUCUUUUCCUUUUUCUAUAUUUCUUUUUUUUUUUUUUUCUCUUAGAGCCAUUGCUGCUGAGAUUGUUCUAAAGGGACAAAGAGAGGUCCACCGUUUAUAUCAGAGAGCCUUACAGAAGUUACCUCUUUGUGCAUCACUGUGGAAAGAUCAACUCUUGUUUGAAGCAUCAGAAGGAGGUAAAACUGAUAACCUGAGAAAACUAGUUUCCAAGUGCCAAGAGAUUGGAGUCAGCCUAAAUGAGCUCUUAAAUUUAAACAGUAACAAAACAGAAAGCAAGAAUCACUGAACACUGGGUGCAGUCAGUUCUAAGUCCUUAUAAUAAUUGC
rnacentral:ncRNA from 2 species